AUUGAACGCUGGCGGCAAGCCUAACACAUGCAAGUCGAACGAGUGGCGGACGGGUGAGUAAUGUCUGGGAAACUGCCUGAUGGAGGGGGAUAACUACUGGAAACGGUAGCUAAUACCGCAUACUAUCGGAUGUGCCCAGAGGGGAUUAGCUAGUAGGUGGGGUAAAGGCUCACCUAGGCGACGAUCCCUAGCUGGGCUGAGAGGAUGACCAGCCACCCUGGAACUGAACAACGGCCCAGACUCCUACGGGAGGCAGCAGUGGGGAAUAUUGGACAAUGGGCGCAAGCCUGAUGCAGCCAUGCCGCGUGUGUGAAGAAGGCCUUCGGGUUGUAAAGUCCUUUCAUCGGGGAGGCGGUACCCGCAGAAAAAGCAACGGCUAACUCCGUGCCAGCAGCCGCGGUAAUAC
rnacentral:rRNA from 1 species